CGCGUAGGCGGUGAUAUGAGUGUGAUGUGAAAGCCCCGGGCUUAACCUGGGAAGUGCAUCGCAAACGAUAUGACUGGAGUAGAUGAGAGGGUGGCGGAAUUUCCGGUGUAGCGGUGAAAUGCGUAGAGAUCGGAAGGAACGUCAAUGGCGAAGGCAGCCACCUGGCAUCAUACUGACGCUGAGGCGCGAAAGCGUGGGGAGCGAACAGGAUUAGAUACCCUGGUAGUCCACGCUGUAAACGAUGAGUACUAAAGGUUGGUAGGGGAACCUAUCAGUCUUGAAGCUAACGCGAUAAGUAUUCCGCCUGGGAAGUACGGCCGCAAGGUUGAA
rnacentral:rRNA from 1 species